GAUAGAUAUAUACUGUCAUACUGAGAUACGCAGAAAACCAGAUUGAUUGAAGAUCAGAUACGUCAUCGAAUGUAUAACUCCCGACCAAUCCCGACCAAGAAGAUCGCCAUUAUAUGGAUAAGACAGCACCUGAAAAGGAGGUUCCUGAGGAAGUGACUAGAGAGUCGCUUAUUUCCAUUUCUUACUCUCUACCGGAGAAUGUUCUUACUUCGAAACCAUCGUCCGACAAGUUGAACGGAGAGAAUCUCGUCGGAGGAAUAGAUUGUGAUGGAGAAGAUAAGUUUAGAUCUGAACUGAUUUCUAUUUCUUAUACGCAAUCACCAGAUGUGGGAGGCUUACCCGUUGCUCUGGGAGGAGAACUCAAGGAUUAGCGUGGAAGAGUAGAUUCUGUUGUUUUUAUGGUUAGUGUCCGAGUUUGAGUGCCUUGGAUCUUGCUCUAUGAUAUUUGGCAUUGUAAAUUCACCUAGAAAACUGUUAUACGCUAGAAAAGCUUUGUUGAGACCAUGAAUAAAAAUGUGGUUCCUAUA